GAUGAACGCUGGCGGCGUGCCUAAUACAUGCAAGUCGAGCGAACAGACGAGGAGCUUGCUCCUCUCACGUUAGCGGCGGACGGGUGAGUAACACGUAGAUAACCUACCUAUAAGACUGGGAUAACUUCUGGAAACCGGAGCUAAUACCGGAUAAUAUAUGGAACCGCAUGGUUCAAUAGUGAAAGACGGUUUUGCUGUCACUUAUAGAUGGAUCCGCGCCGGAUUAGGUAGUUGGGAAGUUAACGGCUUACCAAGCCAACGAUGCAGAGCCGACCUGAGGGGGUGGACGGCCCAACCGGGACCGGAACCCGGUCCCAACCCCUAAGGGAGGCAGCAGGAGGGAAUCUUCGGGAAUGGACGGAAGUCUGACCGGGCAACGCCGCGGGAGUGAAGAAGGUUUUCGGAUCGUAAAACUCUGUUGUAAGGGAAGAACGAGGGUGAGAGUAGAAAAUUCACGCUGUGAGGGUAUCUAACCAGAAAGGGACGGCUAACUACGUG
rnacentral:rRNA from 1 species